rnacentral:lncRNA from 1 species
UAAUUUCAUAAUAUCUGCCCACAAAAUAUUUAUUAAUCUUUUUUUUUUUUGAGACGGAGUUUCGCUUUGUUACCCAGGCUGGAGAGCAAUGGCGCAAUCUUGGCUCACUGCAACCUCCGCCUCCUGGGUUCAAGUGAUUCUCCUGCCUCAGCCUCCAAAGUAGCUGGGAUUACAGGUGCCUGCCAUCAUACCCAGCUAAUUUUUUGUAUUUUUAAUAGAGAUGGGGUUUUGCCACGUUGGCCAGGCUGGUCUCGAACUCCUGACCUCAGGUGAUCAAGUACAACAUAUUUAUUAACUGGGGGAAAUCAUGGUAGACACCAAUUUACCAAGUGACAUAAGUUGCCAACCCCAAUAAUGGGACAAGUUGACAUUGUGUGCCUCCUGAUAUAAUGAACCUAGAAGAGCAUGGCAUCAUUUCUGCAGUAUUCUUGCCAAAAAUACAUAAGCCACAUCUAAUUCCAAGGAAACAUAAGAAAAAUUCAAAGCGAAGAAACUUCUAUAAAGUAACCAGCUUUAUGCAUCAGAAAUGUCAAAAUCAAGAGACAGCAGGAAGUGUUCCAAAUUGAAGUGGACCAAAGAGACAUAACAGUGAAAUGCAAAGCAUGAUCCUGAAUUGGAUCUAAACAUUAUUGGAACAAUGGGUGAAACUGGCAUUUGGUCUCUGGUUUAAAUGGUAAAAUUGUGUUGAUAGUAAAUUAUUAAUUUUGAUGGUUGUACUGUGGUUAUGUGAAAGAGUGUCCUUGGUUUUAGGAAAUACACACUGACAUAUCAAGGGGUAAUGGAGCAUUGUGUCUGCAACUUAAUUUCAAAUGGCUUGAAAUAAAUUUGUGUGUGUUUGUGUGUAUAAGAGAAUGUUAAAUUGAAUGAGGUAAAAUGUUAAUUGGGGAAUCUGGGUCAAGGGUAUAGAGGAGUUUUUUUUAAAAAUCAUUUUUGCAACACUUCCAUUAACUUGAAAUUAUUUCACAGCAAAGCUAGAAAAACAACCCUCUUUUCUUCUAAAAUUGAAUAUCCCUAUGACCCAAUUCACAUUGAAUGCUCUACUUACCAAGAAAAAAGUUUUUUUUUUUUUAAAAGCAUCAGAUUGAUGUAAAGGUGAGCUUAAAUAUUUACACAAAAUAGAAGAAUGGAAAAUUAUGUCUUGAAUAUGUUGAGGUCAACAUGAGACAUGUUGAUAUUUUAAAUCUUGAAAAAAAUACCCUGCACUCCAAAAUGCAUAAAUCAUUUCCAAACAGAGAUGAAUUGAGGAAAAAUAGCAUCCUGGAGGACAAAACACCUCAGGCAUUCAUCCCCUGACCUAACCAAAUGACAGAUCUUGAAGCAACUUCAAAGCUGCAAAAAUAACUGGCUCUAACACGUACCAGGAUCGGGAGGAUGGGCGGGAAAUACUUCCCACAACCUUGAAAUAAAUGAUUAGUUCAAAGAGAAUAAAAGAAAAUGUUGUAUCAUAUUUCAUAAAUGGAAUUUAACAGUUGAAGAGUUCACAUUACUCAUUUGUAAUUUUAUUAUUCCUUGGCAAAAGCUCGUAAAAUUAAAUCAAGCUUAUUUUUAUAUCAGUUCUUCCUCUCUCCCCCUUACAGUGGUGUGGGGAGAACUAAACACUUAAAAAAUACUGUUGCUUUCCCCAAGUGUCAGUGAGUCUGUUGGAUGCUUUUCCUUCAGUGCCAUCAGGCCCAGAGAGGUUAAAUUUCAUUUCAUAAUUCUUAGUUUGGCAUGCAAGGCCUUCUGUAGUUUAGUGGUAACCUAUCUAACUUUUCUUAACUUCACUGCUUAGUAGAAAUCACCUUUAGACACACUUGUAUUUAUUUUACGCUGAAAACAAUCUUUGGUUUUUAUUAUGUGUGAUUCUCUUAUCUCUGUUAUUUUCUAAAAGUUUGCUACUCAUCUGACAAAACACAGGUUCUAUUCCUUCCAAGAAGCUGUUUCUAAUCACUGCUGGUCCCUAAUGAUUUCUCUGUAUUAAGUGAUUUAUAGCUUUUUUGUUAGUGCCUUUUAUUUGGCAUUUAGUCACACAUUUCCUAUCAAAUAUCCUGUAUUAUUGUUCUGCUGUUUGUAUCUGUGUCCUUUGUCUUCUCAACUAAUUUGUAAACCCUAAAAGAAGAGAUACCCAGCAUCACGCAAUAUACCCAUAUAACAAACCCACACAUGUACCCCCUGCAUUUAAAAGUUGAAAUAAAAAAAAGAGGAGAU